GACGAACGCUGGCGGCGUGCCUAAUACAUGCAAGUAGAACGCUGAAGCGAGGAGCUUGCUCUUCUUGGAUGAGUUGCGAACGGGUGAGUAACGCGUAGGUAACCUGCCUUGUAGCGGGGGAUAACUAUUGGAAACGAUAGCUAAUACCGCAUAACAAUGGAUGACACAUGUCAUUUAUUUGAAAGGGGCAAUUGCUCCACUACAAGAUGGACCUGCGUUGUAUUAGCUAGUAGGUGAGGUAAUGGCUCACCUAGGCGACGAUACAUAGCCGACCUGAGAGGGGGAUCGGCCACACUGGGACUGAGACACGGCCCAGACUCCUACGGGGGGCAGCAGUAGGGGAUCUUCUGCAAUGGGGGCAACCCUGACCGAGCAACGCCGCGUGAGUGAAGAAGGUUUUCGGAUCGUAAAGCUCUGUUGUAAGUCAAGAACGGGUGUGAGAGUGGAAAGUUCACACUGUGACGGUAGCUUACCAGAAAGGGACGGCUAACUACGUG
rnacentral:rRNA from 1 species